rnacentral:rRNA from 1 species
UACGUAGGAGGCAAGCGUUGUCCGGAAUUACUGGGCGUAAAGCGCGUGUAGGUGGUGGGACAAAUCUGCUGUGAAAGCGCCUGGCUUAACCGGGCGAGGUCGGCGGAAACUGUCCGACUCGAGGACGGUAGAGGGGGGUGGAAUUCCCGGUGUAGUGGUGAAAUGCGUAGAGAUCGGGAGGAACACCUGUGGCGAAGGCGGCCCCCUGGGCCGGCCCUGACACUGAGGCGCGAAAGCGUGGGGAGCGAACAGG